rnacentral:rRNA from 1 species
AUUGAACGCUGGCGGCAUGCUUUACACAUGCAAGUCGAACGGUAACAGGCCUUCGGGUGCUGACGAGUGGCGAACGGGUGAGUAAUGCAUCGGAACGUACCCAGAGGUGGGGGAUAACGCAGCGAAAGCUGUGCUAAUACUGCAUGUGAUCUGAGGAUGAAAGCGGGGGACCGAGCAGCAAUGUUUGGCCUCGCGCCUUUGGAGCGGCCGAUGUCGGAUUAGCUAGUUGGUGGGGUAAAGGCCUACCAAGGCGACGAUCCGUAGCUGGUCUGAGAGGACGACCAGCCACACUGGGACUGAGACACGGCCGAGACUCCUACGGGAGGCAGCAGUGGGGAAUUUUGGACAAUGGGCGCAAGCCUGAUCCAGCAAUGCCGCGUGCGGGAAGAAGGCCUUCGGGUUGUAAACCGCUUUUGGCAGGAACGAAACGGUGUCCGCUAAUACCGGGCGCUAAUGACGGUACCUGCAGAAUAAGCACCGGCUAACUACGUG